UUUUCCAAAAUCGGAUAUUUAAUUAUAAACAAAUAUCUUGUGGAAUAAAAUCGAAUUAGAACAAAUAGCAUUUAUCUUUUAUGUUAGACCUUUGCGUUGGGAUAACAAGCGUAGAAAAGAUAGUUUGAUUUGUGAACGCAACAACGAGCGUGACUUCAUAUCGCCCAUCGUUACGGUCACAAAUCGAAAUAUCUUUAUCGUACUUCAGGAAAUUAUAUUGUUCUUCUUUUUGUUACCUGAAACAACAAACGAACAAAUAAAAAAAUCAAACGAAAUGAAAAUACAGUCGGAAUAUUUCCGAUACGUUAACGUAAUCGCGUUGAAUCGUGUAAUCGAUAUUGAAUUUCAAAAAUAAACAUACAUAUUAUACAAAAGAAGAUGAAGAAAUAAUUAUCAUUAACCGAUAUCUUCAACGAACUUUUAUCUUCAAUCAACAAAAAUUGUUCAAAGUGUUGCAGUUAAAUUUAUUAGAAGAGUAUUCUUUCGCAGAGCAGUAAAAAAAGAAAAGAUGCAAAGAGAAAAAAAUAAGAAAGACCAUUUGGGAGUGUCAUCUAUCGUUUGAUGGAUUCCUCCAUAAAUUGGCAAACAAUAGUAAAUGGUGGGUCUGGUACUAAGCUUGACGGAAGAAGAAGAAGAAGAAGAAGAAGAAGAAGAAGAGAACUAGAAGAAAGAGGGACGGGUUCGCCGAUUAAACGACAAACAAGCCAGACACGCACUGGCCCUCAUACUUCCAACACUUUAUCUAUAGAAUGUAUAUAACUACUACUACAUGCUAUUCUGUUCUUUUCUCUUUCUUUUUCUCUGACUCCCAAAUGCUUUGGUCAUUUCAUAAUAAUGGCACUUUAUAUGCGAGCAACCACCACCCUCUAUAGGUUUUCCCAUGCGGGCCCACUUUAUCCAUUUUAAAGGAACGACCAAUUUUAUUGAUAUACAAUCGUCCAUUUUUUGUUCUCCUUGCCUCUUCUAUGUUUUCUUCUUCUUUCACCGCACUGUAUGUAUUUGUAUUUGAUAUUCUUCGCUCAUCGAAACGAAUAAAUCUUUAAUCCUCUUAUUAUUCACAUAACGACUCUCUCUCUCAUUCUUGUACUUAUAUCAAAUUCACUUAAUGAAUCAAACCGUCGAACUUUACUACACCAGAAUAAAUCUCGUAGUGUUAAGGAAUAAAUAAAAUAGUUCGAUGGACAAAUGAAUGCCCACCUAGUCAACGAUGGUGGCAACGAUGACGACGACGACGACGAUGACGAUAACGAGGACGAGAUGGUGAUUGAUUAUAUUUCAUCCUUCGUACACUUGUUGAAUUUUCCUCGAUUCGUCUCGAAAAAAAGAAAUCAAUUAGCAAAGUAGAUAUGUUGGUAGUAUAACCCGGAAUGGAAUACGCCUUUAGAAAUUGAGCUACUGGCAAACGUACGUAACUAAGUAGUUACACAUGCACAGGUGUUUUUUCUGAUCACGUGUGCCACAUAUGCAUAUUUCUCUCGACCAACAUUUCUCUCAAGAGAGGAUCGUGAUCGCCCUUUGACUAAUGUGAAAUAAAAAAAAUAGACUGACAAAAAAGAAUUGGAGAAAUAAUCCAACAGUAAGGAGAAGCAAAUUUAAACGUUUUAUUUUAUUCGAUAAAAAAUGGGAAAAAUAAUGUAAAAAAAAAACAAAAACAGACAUAGGAAAAGGGGUUUAGAAAUUAUCUUUCUUUUUGUUUCUUUUCUUUUUUUCUUUUACGUUUAAUUCGAUUCUAACUUCCAAGACAAACUUGUGAUAACGAAAAGAAAGUCAAAAGUCGAAAGUCUGUCUUGUUCGGUUUGAUAUUUUGUUUCUAAAGUUCCAGGGAAAUUCGUGAUUAAGUCGCGAGGCACGGCCCCGACGGGUAAUUUAGAGGAGUUUAUUAAAUUAGGUAGAAUGCGGUGCGUAGGCCCACGCCGGAUACUCGGAGAAUGAAUCUCAUCCAACGAGAGGAAGUUCGAAUUAACUCGAGCCACUGCCAAGGGGGUACGACAUCGUGUACCCCGAUGUGCUACCCAUAAACUCUUGACCUAUUUUUUUUUCUUGGCACCUUUCCACGCGCUAUCGGACGGACUCUCCGGUCAUUGAACGUGAUGUUCCAUCAUUGAUAAUUCUUUUAUGUUGUUUUUUGUUAGUUUAUUUACUUUAUCGUUUAUAAAUUAUACAUUAUCUUUCAUAAUCAUAUGAAAGAGAACGUUUGAGAGUACAAAGAUAUCAUGCGAACUGACAGAUUAAUCUUAUUUAAGAAAUAUUUCUUUUCGAAAAAAAGAAAAAAACAAUAGAGUCGUGGAACAAUUGGUCAGUUAAUAUAAUGUGUGUGUGUGUGUGUGUGUGUGAUAAUUGUAAUAUGUAAUAUAUAUAUUAUAAAAGUCAUUAAGUAACUAGAAUUAAUAAGAUCGUAAAGCUCGGAAGUGUAGAAUGUGGUAGAUGGUUAAGACUUAUUACAAUCGUUUGACCUUUCUACUAACACCGUAUCUCAACUUUGAUGGGUUUACAUUGUACGAGAGAAAGAGAGAGAAGGAAAUGGUAUAGCGAAAAAAAGAAGAAAGGAAGGGAGAUAAAAGAAUUUGAAAUGAAAUUGAACGUACAAAGAAGAGGACAAAAUUAUGAGAAAUUAUUGUAUCGUUUUACUGAAAUCAGCAGUACUCUAACAUAAUACUCGAUUGAUCGAUAUUUCGAUAAGCGUAGAUGACAAAAUGAAAAAAGAAACGAUCCUAUCGAUUAUUUGCCGAAGUAAUUAUUGUGUUCUCGGUUUAAAAUAAAUGAGUCAGUGUAUGAUUAAUGAUAAUUUUAAUCGUGAUGCGUUUAAAUAUUUUU
rnacentral:lncRNA from 1 species